ACUCGCCGUGUCCUGAACACUGGCUGGGCUUCCUGUGCGUUCUAGCCGGUUUUCUUUGGAGCGGCGGGUUUCUGCACGGCUCCGGGGUCGGGAUGGCAGAGGCUUCUCGGAACACGCGGAUCUAUGAGUGCAGUCCCCGGGGUAGCCACCAGGGAACGCCAUAGGCUUUCCCGCUGUGUUCCUCCUUGCCUUUUCCGUUUGGGCCAAGUAGUUUCUAUUGACCAUGACAUUACAGAUCAGAAGUGGGUGGGGUCAGAAAACACACCCUGGGAGAAGCUGGCAAAAUGCCCAGAACCGCCAUCACUAGGCCUGGGGUUUUCUUCUGUAGUGGAAUUCUCGUGCUUAUGUAGUACAGGGAGGAGCGCAGCGCAUUUCCGCCAAGACAGGUGAGACUGCAGUUCUGACCUGCGGGCCUCGAUGAAUUGCUUUAGGGCCCCUGGGCGCCGGCAGAGCCGAUCUCCUACACAAAGCAAGCGUGUUAUGUCUACGACCGAACGGGGACACUAAGAAAGAGCCCCAAAGGCCCUGCUUUCAUCCCAAAGAACAGCGCCUGUCUGCGUAGUUUCUACCUUGCUCUAUGAGUGCAUCAGUUUAAGAGAAGACAUGAGAUCAUGGGUUUAAGUGAGGCUUCAUCAUACUAAGACAACGUGAUCAGGUACAAGUCGGUGAUUAAAGUGCAGAACAACUUCCCCAAUACAGGAAUCCAGCUUCUGAAAAUAUCUGUGCUGGAAAACUUGCAAUGGAGGAAUGGAAGACUUGAGAAAGGGAGGGCUGGGAAACAAGAGCUGUGACUCACCCUGAAGACAUUCUUAUUCCCAACCUAUAUAACUCACAUACACUGGAGGAAAUAUCUUCAUGGAAUUAAAACCACAUGGAGUAACAUUUCACGUAAGCAGAAUUCAGGAAGGAUUUCAGUAAUUCCAUCCCAAACACACACAGGCAAAGGGAGUGAAGAUUUCUUCAGCAACAUGGUGGCAGAAAGAUCAUGAAAAGAUCUAGGCCAGGCAAGUAUGCAAACAAGACUGACUCUUCCUUUCCACUGGAGCUUUGGGUAAUUGCUCUGACAAUUCUAUGAUUUGCUGAAGCCACAGAAAAUCAGUUUUAAAACAGGAUUUCUACCCCUGGCUCACUACAUGACAAAUAAUUUUAUCCUGUAAUCUUCUGAUGUUAAACAAAGAUGGCCCUCAAUGUAAUUGUUACAGUGCCUCCUCCCCACUUCUGUUAGCUGUUGCUUCUCUGCCUCCCACGAGUUUAGUGUAAUCCCAGAACUUUGGGAGACCAAGGAGGGCAGAUCACUUGAGGUCAGGAGUCAGA